UACGUAGGGUGCGAGCGUUAAUCGGAAUUACUGGGCGUAAAGCGUGCGCAGGCGGUUCGUUGUGUCGGCGGUGAAAGCCCCGGGCUUAACCUGGGAAUGGCCGUUUGAAACUGGCGAACUGGAGUGUGGCAGAGGGGGGUGGAAUUCCGCGUGUAGCAGUGAAAUGCGUAGAGAUCGUAAGGAAGACCAGUGGCGAAGGCGGGUCUCUGGACAGUUCCUGACACUGAGGCACGAAGGCCAGGGGAGCAAACGGGG
rnacentral:rRNA from 1 species